GUGAGGAAUAUUGGUCAAUGGGCGAGAGCCUGAACCAGCCAAAUCGCGUGAAGGAUGAAGGUAUUAUGUAUUGUAAACUUCUUUUAUCGGGGAAUAAAGUGCGGGACGUGUCCCGUUUUGUAUGUACCCGAAGAAUAAGGAUCGGCUAACUCCGUGCCAGCAGCCGCGGUAAUACGGAGGAUCCAAGCGUUAUCCGGAUGUAUUGGGUUUAAAGGGUGCGUAGGCGGACUGUCAAGUCAGCGGUGAAAGUCCAUGGCUCAACCAUGGAAUUGACGUUGAAACUGUCGGUCUUGAGUGUAGAUGAGGUAGGCGGAAUUCGUAGUGUAGCGGUGAAAUGCUUAGAUAUUACGAAGAACUCCAAUUGCGUAGGCAGCUUACCAGGCUACAACUGACGCUGAGGCACGAAGGUGCGGGGAUCAAACAGGAUUAGAUACCCCAGUAGUCC
rnacentral:rRNA from 1 species